UACGAAGGGGGCUAGCGUUGCUCGGAAUUACUGGGCGUAAAGGGCGCGUAGGCGGAUAUUUAAGUCGGGGGUGAAAGCCCAGGGCUCAACCCCUGGAAUUGCCUUCGAUACUGGAUAUCUUGAGUUCGGGAGAGGUGAGUGGAAUGCCGAGUGUAGAGGUGAAAUUCGUAGAUAUUCGGCGGAACACCAGUGGCGAAGGACGACUCACUGGCCCGAUACUGACGCUGAGGCGCGAAAGCGUGGGGAGCAAACAGG
rnacentral:rRNA from 1 species